GGGAGAGAAGUUUGCCUGCGGUGCCGAGCAGCCCCAUGAACAUUUACUGUAUUGCAUUUGGGGACAGCGAGCGGAGCCUCCGGAGAAGCUUUUCCAGGGAAUGUUGAAGUCCAGUGAGGAAUAUCCGACUGCGCUGCCGGGCUUCGCCUCAGACACAACACUUGCAUCCGACUUUUUCGCAGCUUUACGCACCAGAUUGAUGUCGCCAAACUAAAGUGGGAAGCAAGCACGGGUCAGUAGGACAGCGGCCGGACGAGGACUGACUGUCUAUCGGUCGUGGGGUUUCCUGGAGACGGACAAGAGUCAAGAAGCGACAACAGCAACAACAACAACGAGAAACAAGCAAAGAAACAAACAAAGCAAAAGACGGUCCAAGAGAAAAGUCCAGCAGAGUCCGCCUCAGAAUGAAUAACAACAAAAUCGAGAAGGAGAACGAACAAAAUGAAUUCACCAACCACGAAGAGGAGGUCCGAACACUAUUCGUCAGUGGGCUACCAUUGGAUAUUAAGCCGCGGGAGCUGUAUCUCCUGUUCAGACCAUUUAAGGGCUAUGAAGGCUCCUUGAUAAAACUCACUUCCAAACAGCCAGUGGGGUUUGUCAGCUUUGACAGUCGAUCAGAGGCGGAGGCUGCUAAGAAUGCCUUGAACGGGGUCCGGUUUGAUCCAGAGAUCCCCCAGACCCUGCGGCUGGAGUUCGCCAAGGCCAACACCAAGAUGGCCAAGAACAAGCUGGUUGGCACUCCCAACCCCCCUCCCUCGCAGCAGAGCCCUGGGCCACAGUUCAUUAGCAGAGAUCCAUAUUCGCUGGCUCCCACCUGCAGAUGGAACUCCUCAGGGAUGGAAGUCCAGGCAGUUCUGCUGAAGUACGUGUUCCUGAUGUGUGAUGGUGGCCGUGGCCGGCCGUGACGGGCGUUGCUGAUUGCUUUCUUGUGUCCAAUUAGAAACCAGGAGGAUUGACCUCACCCCACCUCACUGAGCAGCGGACCGUCGGCAGCAGCAGCCUUGUGGGCCUCAGGACAUACUAGACCCCAGCCUCCAUCACACAUCGAGCCCCGCCCCUCCCUCCAACUCAGCCCUCUUUUUAUACUGUUACAUACUCAAGAUUUACUGGUGGCACUUUGGAUACACUUCCUCUAACGCCUACAUGAAAGGUACUGGACAUGCAAAAGCCCUUCGUUUACCAAUUGACUCUGUUUCCUGUCACACGUGAGCAGGUGUCUUGCUUUGCAUCCCGUAUAUGCAAGUGUAAAGACAGCCCGCCGAGAGAGUGGGACAAAUUUAUGCAGCCAUUUUGGAGGGCCUUACAUGUGGAGGUGUGACUAAAGUGCCACCGGGUAAUGUUAUUAUAUAACUAUAAUUAUUACUAUUCUGUAUAUCAUUCAUAUUAAUGUUAUUAUGAUUAUUAAAUACAUGUUGGAGCAUGACUUUGCAAAAAAAAAAAUAGAAAAAAACAAUGCUGUACAUUUUUAGAUAUUUUAAAGAAAUACAAAAAGGUAUUUUUGUAAUCAAGACGAUGUUUGAUCGGUUUAAUGUUGUGCUAAAGUGUGUGAGGAACUUGUUUGAAAACCUCAGCGUUUCCUUUUUUUCUUUUUUCUUCUCUUUUCCUUUCCUUUUUCGUAUUUGUGCCAUUCUGAAAUGGACAGUUGCCCUGCUAUACCAAAGCAGUCUUGUCAGUGCGCUCGUGUCUUUUCUACAUGCUGUGUGGAUCCGGUUUGGUCGUGCGUACACCUUGAGGCGUCCUUACCUGACGAACCGACGCUACUCCAUUGUCUCGUUUUUUUACCUGACGUGCUUUGGUCCACGUGAGUUGUGGUUAACCCUCGGUAGCAGUAGCGCCAACGCACCUGAUUCAGCUCGUACCUUUCUCACUACAUUGCAGCUUAAUGCGAUCAGAUGUGUUAGAGCCGGGAGAGCAGACGAGCUCACAGAGACAUUGACGGGAAUAAGCCAUCGCUGGUGCAGGUAGAACGACCCCAGAGACUGCAAUGCAAGGCAAACUGAGUCCUGCUAUAAUUAGGAAAUUGCUCCUUCAUUGUGUAGCAGGAGGACAGCAGCACACUAUGGAGAAACAAAAGACCAAAGGCAUUUUUUUUCUUACACUGGAGAGCGAUCUAGGCUAGUGGAAUUAUUCCAUUUUUGACUGCUUUGUAGUCCUCAAUCUGAAUUCUUAUGAAGUAUGACAUUAUGUUUUUUUUUUUUUUUUUUUUAGCUGCAUGUCUCUUUUGGUGUCACUCCAAAGAGUGUCUCCAUGUCUGAAAGGAUAUUCAUCUUAAGUGAUUUUUCUCUUUUUGUCUAUUUUUAGGGAGCCAAUGUGAUUCAACCUGGUUUUAUAAAUUUUGAAUUUAUAUAGUAAAUCAUCGGAGUGAAAAAAAAAAGACAAAGUAAUAAUCUUUUGUAAUCUUGUGUUUUAUGGGCCUGCAAUAACUUUUUUGCUGUAUGACACAUCGCUGAGCGCUAAUAUUUCUGUGAUGUUUUUAGGCCAAAAUGCUCAUUCUCAAAGCAUUCGUACAAAUGGAAAAAAUGAUCUGUCCAAAGGUGAUGUGACAGAAAUCAUCAUCAGAAAUUAAACUAGUAAACGCCAUCCUCCAAAAAAAAAAAAAAAAAAAAAAAAAAAAAAAAUGUCAUUGGACCGGUUGAAUCAGUGUUAGCAAUUAAUAUAGAAUAUGCAUAUCAUAUCAACCGAUUUUCUGAAGCAAUUUUCAACACAGACACAAUUUUCAAGCCAAAUGGGGGCAUCAAGUUUAUUAGAAGUAUUUACAGGAUGUGUAUGUGUUUAUGGAUAUUAUGUUUUAAAAAAAAAAAAAAAAAAGUCCACAGAAGAUGCCCAUCAUGUUAUUCAGUGUAAGUAUUAUUGUAACUUUAAUUGUUAUAUUCAUUUGGUAAUUUUUGUUUGUAUUGGAGUGAUUGGAACAUAUGUGAUAUACUGUUUUACCUAGAUAAAUUCACUGUGAAAUCCAGAGAAAAACAAGCUCUUUGAAAGAACACAAGGAUCAUUUUGAGUUUUGCCACAGCAGAAAGGUACAGAAUGCCCUGGAAACGAAUAUGACGAUCCCUCCUUUUGUCAAUGGCAAAAAUGAUAUUCCUCUAUUGUUUCAGAUCUACUGUGUGAGUACCUGUGUGUUCUGUGCAUGUUCACGGCAUGUGUGUGUGUUCUUUUUUUUUUUUUCUUUUUUCUUUUCUUAAUGCAUUCAGUACUGUUGAUAUUUAUGUAUUUUAGCCACUGUAAAGAGAAACUGUAUUUCGGUGAAUUGCAGAGGUUUGUUUGUUUGUUUGAAACCAAAAAGAGAAAAAAAAGGUGAUCAAAAAGAGAAGUUUUUAUGAAAAUGUUAAAUGAAGACAUUUCAGGCCAUCAGCCAUUAAAGAUUGACGUCAUCCCUGCUGUCA